UUGACUCCUUUCACAGAUGACACCAUUGAUUCUCCCUAAAUUGGAGGGACUCAGUGCCCACCUCCCAUCCUUAGAACGCAGCAGGACUCAGAACCUAGUGCUGGGACAUGGCAAACCAGAUAAAGAAAUUGAGACCCAGAAAACUUGGGAAAUUUGCUCAAAUUCACACAUAAAUAAAGAGUGGAGUUGUGAAUGGAAGCCGAGCUGUUGGAAUCUAAGAAUUCAGAAUACUGUUUGAGAAGAUAAGAAAGUGUUUCAGGGCUUCCCUGGUGGCGCAGUGGUUGAGAAUCUGCCUGCUAAUGCAGGGGACACGGGUUCGAGCCCUGGUCUGGGAAGAUCCCACAUGCCGCGGAGCAUCUAGACCCGUGAGCCACAACUACUGAGCCUGAGCGUCUGGAGUCUGUGCUCCACAAUAAGAGAGGCCGCGAUAGAGAGAGGACCGCGCACUGUGAUGAAGAGUGGCCCCCGCUUGCCACAACUAGAGAAAGCCCUCGCACAGUAAUGAAGACCCAGCACAGCAAAAAUAAAUAAAUAUAUAAAUUAAUAAACUCCUACCCCCAACAUCUUCUUUAAAAAAAAAAAAAAAAGAAAGUAUUUCAAUGUUUUCUCAUGCAGUCGGCCUCCUAACUCAUCAUCGUGAGACCUUUCUUGGCUAACUUAAUAUUUCAACCCAUCCUUCACAUUUUAUAUCCUUCAUCCCACUUUUAUUUUUUCUCUUUAGCACUGAAUACUAUCUAACAUGUUAUAUGUUUUACUUACUUAUCAUUUUUAUUUUUCUGUCUCCACCCCUGGAAUGUAAGCCCUGUGAGGGCAGGGAUGUUUUGGUCUAUUUUGUUCACUACAAGACAGUGUACAAGACAGCCUACAAGAGUGUCUUGCACAUAGUAGGUGUUCAAUAAGUAGUUACUGAAUGAAUGAAUGAAUGAAUGAAUGAAUUGGGCUGCUUACAUUGAGGUCAAGGCCCUCUAAUUAGAUCCUGGAGAUACUUCUGGAACCAAAUCCUUUUGGAUUCUAAAUUGCUGGGCUCUAGAUAUGAUUGCACUCAUGGGUGGAGCGGGGAGACAAAGACUGUGUUCCUCCUCAUUUCCUUCCUCCCCUCCUUGCCCCUCCCUCUCCCAAGUGCAUAUGCUUCAUUGUUUUCAUCUGGUUUAACUGCCUUCCCUUUGAGCCUGCUUUGCAAUACUGAAUAACAUUCCUUGACUGGCCUGUUUAUUUUCUCCAUUUAUAAAAUGGGGAAAACUGUACUUCUGACAACUUUACCAGGACUUGGAAGAGAUCAAUGAGAUGAUAGGAAAAAAAGCAAACAAGGCACUGAAUCUUAGGAGGACUCUGGCUAUAGAAACAUACACGAAAGUUCAAAUAAAAUACUUUUAUCAGUCA